rnacentral:lncRNA from 10 species
CAGCUACUGCAAUGAAGAAGCGCUGCCGAUGCGUGAACAGAGACCACAGACAGACAGGAAUUCCGCAUGAGACAGACAGGAAUUCCACAAGAAACCGACAGGAGAAAGCAAGUCUCAUCUCCUUCCACCAGCCUUGCUGUCUCUGCUUGGCUGCUCUUCUAGAGGGUCUUACACAGAGCCAUGGAAUAAUGCAGAAAUGUAAAGUGAAGAGCCCCAGCUCCAAUCUCAAAAAGUAGAGAAUGGAAGUCACCAAGAGAAGAGAGAAGAACAACAGAACAGAGAGAAGUAGAUUCUUCAACUCAGCUGUCAAGUGAACUCAGGAUAUCAAAGGACUGUGCAAUGUGUUGUCAGAGGUCAUGUUCUUUGACCACUAUAUUUUCCCAUACUAUAUGUUACUGGUGGCUGGUAUCAGAGUUUCCCCAGGUUAUCAGCAGUGUAUCUUAAUGCGUCUGCAGCAACUUCAAUUUUUGCCUCCUGAGAAGAAAGAAUUCUACUGAGGAGCACAAGGCAGAACAAGACCGAAGUGAGUUUCAGAGCAAGAGUGGAAGUUUUUUUUUUAAAGGCUGUAGAAUAGGAAAGAAAGGAAAGUUCACUUGGAAGAGAUCCAAAAAGGCGUCUGAAGGUCAAAGAGAGCAUUUAACCUUGGUCUCCUAGGACUUUUUGGCUCACUUCUUUUCCAUGAUUCUUCCCUUAGGGUGGGCUUCCCGCAUGCGCAGUCUCCUCUUUGCCCCUGGGAACUGAGCAUGCGGUAGUGUGUUUAGGAAGUUGCUCGUAUGCCCAUCUGAGGCUUUCUUCCCUUUUCUGGUGAAGUGUCCCUGGAAGAUCAUACUUCUCUAUUUUGUAUGUUAACAUGCAUGCCCCGGAGGUUUCUUCUCCCUGGCAUCUCUAUUCCCUUAACACUUUAAUGUUAAUAGCUGUGGAUCAUCAGGAGAUUGUCUCUCUCUGGUGCCCUAGCACUCCCUACUGAGUUGUCAUUUUUAGCGAGGCAGUGUGAUAAUUGUUGAACCAUCACCUGACAUUCCUAGUGGGUGGGGGAAGAGCCCUCUCCCGCCUCACUCAUCCCUAUCUAACUACCUGUAACACUAUACACAUUUGUCUUCUGUGAUAAUGGAGCUGCAUUUCUAAGCCCUGAAUAUUUGGAUUUCACUUUCCUUUAACUACUGUUUAUGCAUGCACAUACCACUUCCUUGCAUCCCAACACCAUAGGGGCUAGCUGCAGGUCACAUGGAAUAGGAUGUUCACUUCUAAUGAGGAAAGAGGCCAUUCCUCCUACUGUCCCCUGUCUCCAAAGAAAAGGAGGAAGUAAAAACUGAAAAACAACAGACUGAUCCGCGCCACUGGCCAGGCCUGUAAGUUAAAGAUUAACCACCACCCUAACCACUUGUGCUGUCUAUAGAUCACAGACAAUGGUAUGGAGAAAUACUUGCCUUGCUCACCACCCCCACCUAGUCACGUACCCCAUGCUUGCACAAUCUAUCACACGACCCUUUCACGUGGACCCCUUAGAGUUGUAAGCCUUUAAAAGGGCCAGGAACUCUUUCUUCAGGGAGCUCAGUUCUUUUUUUUUUUUUGAGUCGGAGAUCUUGCUCUGUCGCCCAGGCUGGAGUGC